rnacentral:rRNA from 1 species
CCUACGGGUGGCAGCAGUGGGGAAUAUUGCACAAUGGGGGCAACCCUGAUGCAGCUACUCCGCGUGAGUGAUGACGGCCUUCGGGUUGUAAAGCUCUUUCGUCGAGGACGAUAAUGACGGUACCUGAGGAGGAAGCCACGGCUAACUACGUGCCAGCAGCCGCGGUAUUACGUAGGUGGCGAGCGUUGUCCGGAUUUACUGGGCGUAAAGGGAGCGGAGGCGGAUUUUUAAGUGAGAUGUGAAAGACUCGGGCUCAACUUGAGGUCUGCAUUUCAGACUGGAAGUCUAGAGUGCAGGAGAGGAGAAUGGAAUUCCUAGUGUAGCGGUGAAAUGCGUAGAGAUUAGGAAGAACACCAGUGGCGAAGGCGAUUCUCUGGACUGUAACUGACGCUGAGGCUCGAAAGCGUGGGGAGCAAACAGGAUUAGAUACCCGAGUAGUC